AUCGAUAUUUCAAAUAUCGAUACUUCAGUGCCCAAUUAUCCCCUAUUUGUAUCGAUACUUUAUCGCUCGAUAUUUCCACGUAUCGAUACUUGACCCUUGAAUAUCGAACUUUGGUAGACCUAUGUCGACCGUCCGUGGCGGUUGGCGGUGGCGCCCGUGGGCCGGCCCUUGACUAUCCUUUGUUUUUUUAUGGCCGUUGCCGUUACGUUAUCUCAGUGUCUAGAGUGUCCAAUGAAGUGAAGAACAGAAGUCUGUAGAGCUAGUUCAAGGUUCAAGUACUUCAAGUACGUAGGUACGUAGUGUACGUACUGUAACAGUAACUCUCUUACAAGAGACUGCAGUUACAAUCAAGUCUAGACUAGACUUAGAGUGUCCGUAUCCAGUAAAGUGAAGAGCAGAAUUCUGUACAGCUAGUUCAAGGUUCAAGUACGUAGGUACGUACUGUAACAGUAACUCUCUUACAAGAGACUGCAGUUACAAUCGAGAGUUAAAUCUAAGAAAAGUCCUAAGGUGAAAGAGCACAUUCCACGUUCCCAUUUCCUAACUUCUAACUUCUAACGGCGCACUAACGCACUUACUUUCUAUAAAAGUACUAAAAGUAGGCGUGCAAGUUUUCCUUUAUUUUAUUCUAUUUCCUUAUUUCUUUCAUUUUU